rnacentral:ncRNA from 1 species
UGUCUUCGGGGCGGGGCGAAAAUCCCCACCGGCGGUGUUGCGGUCGCGUUUGACCGCUUUCCUUGGCGCAGCCGAUUUGGUGAGAUUCCAAAGCCGACGGUACAGUCCGGAUGAAAGAAGAU